AGAGAGAAAGGGAGGGAGAGAGAAAGGGAGGGAGAGGAAGUUUUCAAGAAGGUGGAGAAGACAUUUCAGGACAUAAGAGACCUAUGGACCAAGCUGGAAAGAAAGUACCCAAAGUGAUCAUGUCACUUGCUUUUUCCCUGAAUGGGGGCUCUGGCUUUAGUAAUCACUCUGUGGAAACUAACCCUAAAUGAGAUAAAAUGUCCCAGGGAACACGGGCCAUGCUUCUGUGAUGGUUUCUUUAUUUCUAGGAGCUGACUGCACAUAAAGCUUAUUUUAGAGUCCAUGGUUAUGAGAUCGUUCCAUCACCUGCCAACUACUAGCAAGCAUCACAAGUAUUUGAGGGGUUGAGAGAACAUGCAGCGAAACAAAAUGGGAUUCUGGACGCUGUUCAUCACUGCCAGCCUUGCUCCGCUAAUACUCUGCCUUUUCCCCCUGUUCACAGAACCGAAAGUAAGCUGCAAAUUAGGCCGGUCUGCCUCCACGUCAGGUGUGCCCCCUCCGUCAGUUACUCCUCUCAGGCAAGCCAGUGACCUGCAGCAGAGCCAGGUCUUGCCUUUGAACACCUCUAGAUUAAAAGCUCACAUAGCAGAGGGUCAAAUUCAACUCAGACUUCAACUGAGCAAGGUACCACCCAAGAACAGGAUCUCCAAGGGUGAGGUGGGGCCGGGAAUGCAGCUCCUGGAAGGAAGCUAGAGGUCACUCGUUGACUGUCCUUCUCUUAUGGACCGUGCGUGGGGGUCCUGAGAAACCAGCCACGCAGCCACAGGUGUGCGGCGUGUGAAUGAGUGUGUGCACGCGCACGAGGAGGAACGUGAACACUCGAGCACGUCUUUUCACACGCUGAAAAGAAAACACACCCUCUCGCACACACGCACACAUAAACGCAGCUUCUAGAGCCCCGGAGUAGAUUCAGCCAGCCGCACACAAAGGACAAAGAAUGUACUCACCAAGAUUUAUGCAGCCCUGGGCUUCCGUGGGGAACCUGUGAACAGACACCUUAAACUGGGUGGGGUGGGGGGUGACCAACUAUACUAUCACUCCAAAGCCUUUGUUUCCCAAAAUAAAUGCAGCAUUGGAGCUACUUGAUAAUCCCUA
rnacentral:lncRNA from 1 species